rnacentral:rRNA from 1 species
UGGGGAAUAUUGCACAAUGGGCGCAAGCCUGAUGCAGCAACGCCGCGUGAGGGACGACGGCCUUCGGGUUGUAAACCUCUUUUAGUAGGGAAGAAGCGAAAGUGACGGUACCUGCAGAAAAAGCACCGGCUAACUACGUGCCAGCAGCCGCGGUAAUACGUAGGGUGCGAGCGUUGUCCGGAAUUAUUGGGCGUAAAGAGCUCGUAGGCGGUCUGUCGCGUCUGCUGUGAAAACCCCGAGGCUCAACCUCGGGCCUGCAGUGGGUACGGGCAGACUAGAGUGCGGUAGGGGAGAAUGGAAUUCCUGGUGUAGCGGUGGAAUGCGCAGAUAUCAGGAGGAACACCGAUGGCGAAGGCAGUUCUCUGGGCCGUAACUGACGCUGAGGAGCGAAAGCGUGGGGAGCGAACAGGAUUAGAUACCCUGGUAGUCCACGCCGUAAACGUUGGGCGCUAGAUGUGGGGACCAUUCCACGGUUU